CUCCCUGCGAGAGAGGCGAGAGAGACUGCUCUUCACGGAGCCACGGGGCAAGGGCAGGGCAGGAGGGUGUGAGACUAGCGGAGCCCCGUGGAGGCAGAGGGAAGGGAAGGCUUGGAUGCCACGGGUUUUGUUCUGCUUUAAACUGGACCGCAUUCUUCCUCAAAUUUCCAACAGUAUCCUGUGUGGUACCUGGUAUCGAGCAGGCCCUCAAAAUAUACUCAGCUGAACAACCACAUCAUUUCCUUAGCCAAGGAGACCACACACUUGGGUAGAAUAUGGCCCUACGAUGGACUAUGGGAGCACAGAUUACUUCUGACUUGGCCACUGCGGUCUGUUUCCAUCUAAUGAGGUCCCAUCAGUCCCUCAGCCUAGGCUGGACUCUGCCUUGGAGAUUGUUCUUGGGCUAUCCUGUCGGAGUUGACAGAAUCAGACCGCGGCUGAAAUACCUAGUGCAGAGAUCGGAGCAGGAAGAGAGUCUGUGUAACAAACCUGUCUGUUGAGGAUCUUCCUGAAUUGCCGGAUCAUCUGACUUCUGGAACAUUGGUCCAAAAAUGAUUGCUGGUGAGAGAGUGCUGAGAUUCUGGCCCUGUGUCAGAG